AGGCGGGGCGGCCUACCGAUGCAAGUCGAGCGGAUGAAGGGAGCUUGCUCCUGGAUUCAGCGGCGGACGGGUGAGUAAUGCCUAGGAAUCUGCCUGGUAGUGGGGGAUAACGUCCGGAAACGGGCGCUAAUACCGCAUACGUCCUGAGGGAGAAAGUGGGGGAUCUUCGGACCUCACGCUAUCAGAUGAGCCUAGGUCGGAUUAGCUAGUUGGUGGGGUAAAGGCCUACCAAGGCGACGAUCCGUAACUGGUCUGAGAGGAUGAUCAGUCACACUGGAACUGAGACACGGUCCAGACUCCUACGGGAGGCAGCAGUGGGGAAUAUUGGACAAUGGGCGAAAGCCUGAUCCAGCCAUGCCGCGUGUGUGAAGAAGGUCUUCGGAUUGUAAAGCACUUUAAGUUGGGAGGAAGGGCAGUAAGUUAAUACCUUGCUGUUUUGACGUUACCAACAGAAUAAGCACCGGCUAACUUCGUGCCAGCAGCCGCGGUAAUACGAAGGGUGCAAGCGUUAAUCGGAAUUACUGGGCGUAAAGCGCGCGUAGGUGGUUCAGCAAGUUGGAUGUGAAAUCCCCGGGCUCAACCUGGGAACUGCAUCCAAAACUACUGAGCUAGAGUACGGUAGAGGGUGGUGGAAUUUCCUGUGUAGCGGUGAAAUGCGUAGAUAUAGGAAGGAACACCAGUGGCGAAGGCGACCACCUGGACUGAUACUGACACUGAGGUGCGAAAGCGUGGGGAGCAGACAGGAUUAGAUACCCUGGUAGUCCACGCCGUAAACGAUGUCGACUAGCCGUUGGGAUCCUUGAGAUCUUAGUGGCGCAGCUAACGCGAUAAGUCGACCGCCUGGGGAGUACGGCCGCAAGGUUAAAACUCAAAUGAAUUGACGGGGGCCCGCCCAGCGGUGGAGCAUGUGGUUUAAUUCGAAGCAACGCGAAGAACCUUACCUGGCCUUGAAUGCUGAGAACUUUCCAAGAUGGAUUGGGGCUUCGGAACUCAAACCAGGGCUGCUGGCUGCCCCCACUCGGGCCGGAAGGUGGGUAAUCCCGAACGAGCCACCUUGCCUAGUUCCGACCUCGGGGGGCCCUUAAGGACUGCCGGGAAACCGG
rnacentral:rRNA from 1 species